rnacentral:rRNA from 1 species
GACGAACGCUGGCGGCGUGCUUAACACAUGCAAGUCGAACGAUGAACUUGGAGCUUGCUCUGGGGGAUUAGUGGCGAACGGGUGAGUAACACGUGAGUAACCUGCCCUGGACUCUGGGAUAACUUCGAGAAAUCGGAGCUAAUACCGGAUAGGACCUUGCACCGCGUGGUGUGGGGUGGAAAGUUUUUCGGUUUGGGAUGGACUCGCGGCCUAUCAGCUUGUUGGUGAGGUAAUGGCUCACCAAGGCGUCGACGGGUAGCCGGCCUGAGAGGGUGACCGGCCACACUGGGACUGAGACACGGCCCAGACUCCUACGGGAGGCAGCAGUGGGGAAUAUUGCACAAUGGGCGCAAGCCUGAUGCAGCAACGCCGCGUGCGGGAUGACGGCCUUCGGGUUGUAAACCGCCUUUAGUAGGGAAGAAGCCUUCGGGUGACGGUACCUGCAGAAAAAGGACCGGCUAACUACGUGCCAGCCGCCGCGGUAAAAC